rnacentral:rRNA from 1 species
AGGGAUCAUUACAGAGUUGCAAAACUCCCAAACCAUCGUGAACGUUACCUAUAAUCGUUGCUUCGGCGGGCGGCGCGCCCGGAGGGGUCCUAACCGGCCCCCCCCGCGGUCCGCCCUCGGCCCCACCGUGGGGCCCGCCGGAGGUCUACCAAACUCUGAAUUUAUAUGGCCUCUCUGAGUCUUCUGUACUGAAUAAGUCAAAACUUUCAACAACGGAUCUCUUGGUUCUGGCAUCGAUGAAGAACGCAGCGAAAUGCGAUAAGUAAUGUGAAUUGCAGAAUUCAGUGAAUCAUCGAAUCUUUGAACGCACAUUGCGCCCGCCAGUAUUCUGGCGGGCAUGCCUGUCCGAGCGUCAUUUCAACCAUCAAGCCCCCGGCUUGUGUUGGGGACCUGCGGCACACCCGCAGGCCCUGAAAACCAGUGGCGGGCUCGCUGUCCACACCGAGCGUAGUAGCAUCUUUGUCUCGCUCAGGGCGUGGGGCGGGUUCCGGCCGUGAAAGCCACCUUCUCAAGGUACCCAAAGGUUGACCUCGGAUCAGGUAGGAAGACCCGCUGAACUUAA